rnacentral:rRNA from 1 species
AAAGGAAUAGACGGGGGCCCGCACAAGCAGUGGAGCAUGUGGUUUAAUUCGAAGCAACGCGAAGAACCUUACCAAGACUUGACAUCCCGCUGACCGCUCUAGAGAUAGAGUUUCCCUUCGGGGCAGCGGUGACAGGUGGUGCAUGGUUGUCGUCAGCUCGUGUCGUGAGAUGUUGGGUUAAGUCCCGCAACGAGCGCAACCCCUAUGUUGUGUUGCCAUCAUUUAGUUGGGCACUUACAACAGACUGCCGGUGACAAACCGGAGGAAGGCGGGGAUGACGUCAAAUCAUCAUGCCCCUUAUGUCUUGGGCUACACACGUGCUACAAUGGGCGGUACAAAGAGACGCGAGACCGCGAGGUGGAGCCAAUCUCAUAAAGCCGUUCGUAGUUCGGAUUGCAGGCUGCAACUCGCCUGCAUGAAGCCGGAAUUGCUAGUAAUCGCGGAUCAGCAUGCCGCGGUGAAUUCGUUCCCGGGCCUUGCACACACCGCCCGU